rnacentral:rRNA from 1 species
GGGGGGGGCAAGCGUUGUUCGGAAUUACUGGGCGUAAAGGGCUCGUAGGCGGCCAACUAAGUCAGACGUGAAAUCCCUCGGCUCAACCGGGGAACUGCGUCUGAUACUGAUUGGCUUGAGUCCGGGAGAGGGAUGCGGAAUUCCAGGUGUAGCGGUGAAAUGCGUAGAUAUCUGGAGGAACACCGGUGGCGAAGGCGGCAUCCUGGACCGGCACUGACGCUGAGGAGCGAAAGCCAGGGGAGCAAACGGGAUUAGAUACCCCGGUAGUCCUGGCCCUAAACGAUGAAUGCUUGGUGUGGCGGGUAUCGAUCCCUGCCGUGCCGAAGCUAACGCAUUAAGCAUUCCGCCUGGGGAGUACGGUCGCAAGGCUGAA